GACGAACGCUGGCGGCGUGCCUAAUAUAUGCAAGUCGAACGAGAGCAACCGGUGCUUGCACUGGUCAAUCUAGUGGCGAACGGGUGAGUAACACGUGGGUAACCUGCCCAUCAGAGGGGGAUAACAUCCGGAAACGGAUGCUAAAACCGCAUAGGUCUUCGAACCGCAUGGUUUGAAGAGGAAAAGAGGCGCAAGCUUCUGCUGAUGGAUGGACCCGCGGUGCAUUAGCUAGUUGGUGAGGUAACGGCUCACCAAGGCCGUGAUGCAGAGCCGACCUGAGAGGGUGGUCGGCCACAUUGGGACUGAGACGCGGCCCAAGCGCCUACGGGAGGCAGCAGUAGGGUAUCUUCCGCAAUGGACGCAAGUCUGACGGAACGACGCCGCGUGAGUUAAGACGGUUUUCGGAUCGUAAAACUCUGUUGUUAGUGAAGAACAAGUGCUAGAGUAACUGUUAGCGCCUUGACGGUAUCUAACCAGAAAGCCACGGCUAACUACGUG
rnacentral:rRNA from 1 species